UACGGAGGAUGCAAGCGUUAUCCGGAAUGAUUGGGCGUAAAGCGUCCGCAGGUGGCUGUGUAAGUCUGCUGUCAAAGAGCGAAGCUCAACUUCGUAAAGGCAGUGGAAACUACACGGCUAGAGUGCGUUCGGGGCAGAGGGAAUUCCUGGUGUAGCGGUGAAAUGCGUAGAUAUCGGGAGGAACACCAGUGGCGAAGGCGGCUCUCUGGGCCCUACCUGACGCUGAGACGCGAAAGCGUGGGGAGCGAACCGG
rnacentral:rRNA from 1 species